CUCUUGCUUUCGAGUCCUAAAUAGGAUGAAACGUGCGUCCUAGAU
rnacentral:hammerhead_ribozyme from 1 species